rnacentral:rRNA from 1 species
UACGUAGGGACCAAGCGUUGUCCGGAAUCAUUGGGCGUAAAGAGCGUGUAGGCGGCUUGUUAAGUCUUGCGUGAAAUCUCGGGGCUCAACCCCGAGCGGUCGUGAGAAACUGGCAGGCUAGAGUGCGGGAGAGGUGAGUGGAAUUCCGAGUGUAGAGGUGAAAUGCGCAGAUAUCAGGAGGAACACCGGUGGCGAAGGCGCCACUCUGGGCCGAAACUGACGCUGAGGAGCGAAAGCGUGGGUAGCAAACAGG